rnacentral:rRNA from 1 species
CAGUCGCCACGGUAAUACGGAGGGCGCGAGCGUUACCCGGAUUUACUGGGCGUAAAGGGCGUGUAGGCGGCCUGGGGCGUCCCAUGUGAAAGGCCACGGCUCAACCGUGGAGGAGCGUGGGAUACGCUCAGGCUAGAGGGUGGGAGAGGGUGGUGGAAUUCCUGGAGUAGCGGUGAAAUGCGCAGAUACCGGGAGGAACGCCGAUGGCGAAGGCAGCCACCUGGUCCACUUCUGACGCUGAGGCGCGAAAGCGUGGGGAGCAAACCGGAUUAGAUACCCCUGUAGUCCCUGUCUCUUAUAC